rnacentral:lncRNA from 1 species
AAUUGAUAAGUGAAAAGAAAAAAAUUGUUUUGGAAUUUGCUUAAUACUAGUGAAGAUUUUAGAGGUAUACAAGUCAUAAUUGGAAAGUAGUUCGAAUGUGUUGUGUGAAGUGCUGGUGGUACACAAUUAUUUGUAGUUGUAAUUGUUGUAUGUGGGUGUUAUAUUUAGAGAAGGGAUAGUAAUUGUUCUUUUCAUUCUUUCAUCCAACAAAUGAUGCCUUUACAUAUAUUUACAUAUGUCUUAAGAAGAAUCUAAAACUGAUUCCUUUUUCUAUAUUUUUACACAACUUUCUAGAUAAUUCUACAUUCAUUCAUAACUUUUUUCUUCUUCUAUAUAGUUCUUCAAGCUUCUAGAGUCUUCUAUCAUCUUGUAGAAUUCUCUUUCAGUAUCUCCUAUAUUUUUUAGAGAAUAAAACAGUUCCUUCUGAUAGGGCAUAUGCAAGGAAGAAUAAGAAAAUAAAAUAUCAGGUUAUAUGUACUAAUUAUAUAGGGUGUAUGUGAAUAUGUAAGUGUUGUCUGUGUUUAUGCAGGUGCUAAGUUAUGUAUAAUGUGUGUAAUUGGGAAGAAUAAGCCUUGAAAGGCCAAAGGGAGCAGAAUAGAUAAAUCUGGAAAAUUUCUCCAGAAAUAACUGCCACUAACUGCAUCUGGGUGUUAUUAAGAACAUUUUGUCUUUUGGGAUAUGUUAUGUAUAAAGAAAUAUCCCAAGAAGAGUACUUUCCUACUCUAGAUAUUGUAGGAUUCUCUCUUCCAAACAAGCUG